GGCUUCCCGACACACCCGGAUGCAGUUAUCCUGGCUGUUAUCAGUGAUGGACCGCAAUGGAGGUCGAGUCAAGAGUUGCUCGGGAAGCCCUCAGAGUUUGGGGCUUCAAGGAGGCCUGUCAAAGGACAAAAGAUGAGAUCGCUGGGCGGCAGGGUGUCCCAAAGGGUCCUAGAAACUGCGCCUCCGCGAUUCCUGUUAACUUGCCGCCAAGUUUUUCUAGAGGGGUCGCUCCUCUUGGCAGGGUGGAGCCUCGCUUCCUACCCAGCACUUCUUUGUGUGCCGGGUUUCUGUUUCGGGCUUUUCCAGCUGCUUAGGAGCUGAGGGGGCAGUGCGGUGGCUGGCCGGGGAGGAGCGGGUGGGCCGGAGUGUAGAACAGAGAGAGGUGGGGCGCGCUGGCGACUCUGAGGCGGCCAGGCUGGGGGCGCCCUAGAGUACAGCCCCGAACUGCCGCCCCCUCUGGAGCCUGGCCCCUAGAGGCUGAGAUGCUUCUCACCAAGGGGCGCUCCGAGUAAGCCAUAGAGCUCUUCCCUGCCGACCCAACUUUACUCAACUUUGAUCUUCGAAAACAUCUAGGAUAUGUAUUGAUAUAAUGCAGUAUGUGAUUGGUUUGUGUUUUUUUUUUGUCCCAAAUACAAGCAAACUAAUAAUGUUAGUAAGUUUUAGAAUAGGGAAAGUUCGCAUGUUGAGUCAUGUGGUGGUUUUCUUUUAAGGUUUAAAUUUGGAUAACAUGCUAGUGCUUACUAGAUUUUACCAAAAGCAUUCUUUUACUGAGCUUUGCUGCUGUGCAGUUAUGAUGAAACAUGAAGAUGCCAGAAUUGUACCUCACGAUAAGGCUUUAAUUGCCAGAAGGUUCUGAAAGUGCAACAGUAAUUCUAGGUUUAGAUAUAUUAAUUUGAGUUAGUUCUCUUGCAGGGUGCCCUAUAGGUUUUGUCAUCGGGUGAAACAGGAACAAAUGUAGGUCUGCUGGGGUCUUGGCACAGUACCACAUGGACCUGGACAAAAGCAUUGUUAAGGAUGGCGAUACUGCAGCGAGGUCUGAUGCGUCUGAUGGAGAUACUGAGGCUGCUGAAAGUGAACUGCCCGAGAGGGCUGGGAGGCUGUCUGGAACACACUUAGUUGUGCUGGCUGAGGUCCUGCCUGUCCUCUCUGUUUGUUUGCUUCUUUCACAUCAUUGUCAUGAGCGCUGCAACAUGGAGAGAAAGGAAACUGUUAAUAAUGUUAACUUGAGAAAAAUUUGCAGGAAAGCCACGCACCACACCCAACUCCUUAACAGCUGACUCAUUGGACUGCCCCACUGCCCAGGUAGCAGUCACUGCAACCAUAAUUUCAACAGAAAGAUCUCACUCUUAGCUUUCUAAAAGCUCCUUUCCUUGGUAGAGCCCUUGGGAACUGGCUGCUGGUAGCUUUAAGGGCUAUUUUCAGCUUAGGAGCUAUGUCCACAAUAAGUACUUAAAUAUGACUGCCACUUUGGUGACAUCCUGAUGGUCCCACAAUUCAAAGAUGUGGGAAUGAGGCAAGAUUUGCCUGGAUGAUCUCAGAAUUGUGGGCUCACGCAAGAGCACCUCCUUUCCUUAUUAUGUACCCCGAAUCAUACUAGCAAUGACAACCUCUACCUGGGUAACAGCCAAAAGGAAUUCCCCUUCCACCAAGUACUGCUCAUACAGGGGCUUGCUCAUGGCAGCAGGCAGCUGUCAGAGCCAGUAUCCUAAAAGCUCUGGGCCUUUGAGAACUUGUUCCCAGGGCCCCUUAUACAUGAAGAAUGUUAAUAAGAAAUUACAAACACAAGAACAAAGAGGCUUACAUCAAUAGCCGUUCAAUGCACUGAACUAAGAAAUCCCAGGAGUAAGCAGUAAGACGAUGCAGUCUUGUAGGCCACGUUGGAGAAAGACGAAGUAUAAUCCUUGAAGAAGCCACACAUGCUGCAGCUACUAAAGAAGGUGCAUAAUUUAGAAAGGCAUAAUCUGUGGAGACACCAAAAAUGAACCUAAGCAACAGAAUGCGCAAGUCACAAGCUCACAAGUCACUUACUGGCAUCUACAAUGACUCACCUUGCAAAGAUACUUCCAGGAAGUAAUCUGCAUACUUGGCCAUGUAGAGUUUAGUUUUUUCCAAGCAAAUCAUUGGCCAGCCGUCAUGAAGAUCGGUUUCAUGCACAGCUUCGGAGAGAUAAUACUCAAUGAAAUGGGCAGCUGUUGGAAGGCAGAGGUUCCACUGAAAGGUUUCUAAUAAUAAUAGUUCCAUAUGUAGCAAAUUUUGUUUUGUUAAUACUAGAUUCAUAUUAGUCAUACAACCCAGGCUGUUGAGCUGCUCCAGCUUAGGCACACUAUCUUCUUUUUCUUCAAAUUUACCUUAUAAGCAAAGGAAAAUAAGAGUGAGAGAGAAAAUGUUAGGCGAGUGAUCAAUAUAAGUCUAGUCACUUAAAUGGGAUCUGCUGUCCUAGUGCAAAGAUUUAGAUCCAAAGAUAUUUUUUUCCCUACUUUGGGCAGAUACAAUUGUGCCAGAACUCUGUGGUUCUCAUGUCUACAUGUUUUCUCUCCUAGUGCCUCUGUUCCCCACCCUUCACCCUCCCCUAAAAAAAACCAAAAAAAAAAAAAAAAAACAGAAUGUGUAAACAUUUUGAUAUAUGUCCUACUGUGUAAUGAAAACAGUCCUAUGUGCCAAUGAAAAAAUAACUCCAUCAUCUCACCAGCUGAAUCUUUUCAGGAACUUUCUUUUGGGGGUCAGGCGGUAGUUGGUAAAAGAAAAUUAUGUUAGAACAGAAGAAAGUUUAAAGAAUUUAAUGUCAUAGUUAUCUAAAAUCAAAAAUAGCUAAGCUUCAAGUGUUUCAUCUCAGCAUAUUUUCAGCAUAAUCUCAAUUCCAGAGAGAUACAAAUAGAUUAGAGGAAAAAAACUGGGUGAAUAUCUAACAUAAGCAUUCUCAUUAUACAAAAAAUCCUAUUCCUCCUCUUCUAAAUUCAAAACAAAAACCUAGCCAAGCCUGUUAUUAAGAAAAGGGAGGAUAUUUUAUACCACUUUUAUAUCCCCUUACUCAAAGCAGAAUAGGAGUAAAGCUGCUCUGAUGGCUGAAUGUCAUUAUUUGAAGGCAUUAACUUCUUUUCAGGAAAUACUCAUCCAUAUGCACAGCUGAGGAAUAAAAUGCCCUCUCCAGCCCCUGAAUAAUUUUUCUAUGGAUUAUGUACCAUCUCACACUUUAAUUUCCAAGCAAGCAUUUACUAUAUAUAAAUCAUUCACUUUAGAUGUUUCUAAAAGUUAUAGCUGGAGAAAACUCAAGCUAUCAAGUACUAUUAUGAUUUUCUAAAUGCAGCAACAGAACCAAAAGAGUUAUCGUCAAAUCUCUUUGGGUCUUUGUUCCAUGAUUAUCCAUAGAAGAAGGGAAAUUAAAACUGAAGCUUUCUACCUCCUAGCAUUAUGUUCUAUUUUACAUUAAGGUAUAAAAUAGUCAUAUUAUAUUGCAAUUAUUAUAGAUUUCUCACAAUAGCUUUUGCACUUGCUCAUAAUUAGUUAGAAUAUGUUAUAUAUUACUAUAUAAAUUUUUUGUUCUACUAUUUUGAUAACUAUUUAAAUAUAUUUGAUUUCUUUAGAAAUCUUACAAUUUUAUCCAUUUAAAAACAUUUUGGGGGGAAGACCACGAAGACUACCAAACCAGAAGAAACCAAAUGAGUUUCCCUGUGAAGUUUCUCUUCCAGAAGGAAUGGGUUUACACCACACAUUGAAGUUCUGACAACAAAUGGUAGUGGCCAGAAUCACUCAGCCCAGAUGUUCCACAUAAUGGAGUCAGUGAGGUUUGUUCAAGUCAGCCUGCCUUAGGGGCUGGGGAAAAAGUACUGCUAACUACCCUGGUCUUUGCUUAGGGAGGGUGAACGAGAGUAGAAAGUUUUGUCUCCCAUGCCAAGAGACUCUAAGCUCAUAACUUUAAGAAGAGUCUAGUCCCAGAGAAGUUUAAAAUUUCGCUCCCACUCCAGAAAAUUUGAACUUUGUUAGAUUUAAACUACUCUUAACAUCGCUGCAGGUAAGAGAUGAUCUAAAAAACUUACAUAAUUCAGACUUUUCAAGAAUCUAGAUAGUCCUUCCCAAUUCAAAUCACAUAAAGAUAAAUUUCACAAGUUUUGCCAGAGGCAUUUAUUAGUACAGCUGAAAGCACUAACGUGAUCUUAAUGACAGUCAUCCAGCAUGAUCACUGCAUAAAUAUAGGAGAUGAACCCACUGUUCUCAGUAUAACCAAAUGGAAUUCUUCAGAAGGAGAAUGACCUAGGAAUUUAGUUCAGUCCCUCUGGAUGAAUCAUUAAGACUUUCAAAGUACUCUAUUUGUGUAGAAGCAGCAAUACUGGCAGUAUACUUCAAAGGAGUAUUGUAAAAAAUUAAUGAGUUUUUUUAUAUCAUGCUUGACGUUCCUUUGAAGAAAUUAAUAUACCACAAUCCACUGUUUAAUUCAAGGAUCAAGAAUGUUUCAUAUUAUCUCCUUGAAACUUUCAACAUAGAAAACAGUUGUAUAUGACCAAUUUCACAGCUCAAGAAACCAAGGUAGCAAGGUUGGCCAAUUCAUUUAAAGUCAAUUAAGUUGAGUCAAACCCAAAAUGGAAGACUUAUUUAUGUCUGAAUUCCCAAAUCUGUGCUUCUAGACCAAAGUACUACACCAGGUUAAAUGAGGACAACAACUACCAGAAUAGACAAACUUUUAUAUUAUUAAGCAUCCAUGGGGUUUUUAUAUUUAUAAAGUACUUGGCUAUUACAAGCAUGAAAGCCUUUGCAUCUUGAUUUGCAAAGAUAAAAAAUAACCUGCAUGCUGCAUAAAUAACCAUACUUGGGAUUUUAAUUAAUGUUUAAGUUUUUUUGGAACCUUUUCAUUAUAUAUAGUAAUACACUCAGAUACAUGGAUAUUAAAGGAUUUCAAAAAGUG